rnacentral:misc_RNA from 1 species
AAGGGUGACAAAUCCAUCUUGCAUCAUGGCUGCUCUGAAGAACAAGAUCCACCGCAUCGGCAAGAGGAAGGGCGCGACCCUGAAGGACGUCAGCGCCUGGCGCUGGAUCAAGACGGCGGCGCGCCACUUCAAACAGGAGGGCAAGAUCUUUGUGCCGAACUGCACCGAGAUCAUGAAGAGCUCUCACGGCCGCGAGCGCGCGCCGCAGAACCCGGACUGGUACUACAUCCGCUGCGCCGCCGUCCUGCGCGCCAUCUACCUGCGCCCUGGCGUGGGUUACGGUGGCCUAAGCAAGCGCUUCGGCAACAAGAAGAACUACGGCAGCCGCCCCGAGCACACCGUGACCUCCUCUACCGGUCCCCUCCACUGGGCCUGCAAGUCGCUGACGAAGCUCGGCCUCGUGGAGCCUGGUGCGCAGUCUGGUCAGCGCCUGACCCGCAAGGGCCACAAGUUCGCUGACUCCCUGGCCUUCCAGGUUCAGAUCCGCAAGUUUGGUGCCAGCAAGUAGGCUUAUUCUUGGACGAACGUAGCCGCUCUGUCGCUUUCUCUUAUCUCUCUAUCACGCGUGCAUGUGCGGCGAAGCAGCAGAGAGAGGGGGCGGGGGUGGGGGAGGGGCAAAGAAAAGUGAGGAGGGGUGCUCGCUCUCGUUUUCUUUGUGUCCCUCACCGCGUCUCGUUCGCCACGGGCACGCGCUAAAGGAGCGGGCGAGCGAGAGAGACAGAGCCACGCGACAGCUUUGCCGGUUCGUCUGGCAAGUGCGCCGUGCUGACUGGUUCGCUCCUUUUUUUUGUCGUUUCGUGUUUUGCUUGAUUUCGUAUCAUUUUUUUCCCCUGUUUUCCAAAGGCUGUUGCGAUACAGUCUUCACAAGACCUUCAAACGAAAAGAGCCACAGCAAAGGGCGGAAGCGCUUGUGGCUGUAUGACCGUCGACGUCGGAUGUGUGGGGUUGCAUCGAUCAGAGCUGGCGUUGUUAUCGAGAGUCGUGAUCGCCCAUGCGGGGUACUCGAAGGGUGUCGCGGACUAUGCGGGAAUUCAGCCUGAUAAGGCAGGUGUCACUCAGCAUCCCAUUGUCUGCUGUGGUGAACUCUUUCGUUACCCAGCCCUCUCCUCUUUCCUUCUCUGCCAGCGUGCAGCAGGUGUCUAUCUGAAGUGCUGCUCUCAUGAGGCGAGCAGCGACAACCAAACAGGAAUUCGCUUCUCUGCUGUCAACCUCUCUGCACUGCUAGCACCCUCUUUCCUUUCUUUGUCACCCGAAUCUACUGGGUGCAAUUUUCCUGUCCUGCGACUACUUUUACUCUGUGCGGCGAUGCGUCUGAACGCACGCACCAUCGACACACACACACACACACUUAUGCAAGCCCGAUCAG